UUCUGCUAUCAUUUAUUUAUAGAUUUAUUGAUCACUUAACAUUACUAAAGUUCAAGUAACAAGGUUUCUUGCCCUCCUCUGUAUGGAGAGAUAAAGGAGAUAAGUGACAUAGGGAAAGUUUACAUUCCACAGCACUCUACCGGUGUAACAAACAGGCGUAGGCUCUUACAGAAGGCCACACAACCAUAAGGAAAACUGUCACACAUUCAUAUACCGUAUACAACUUAAAUCUGCAUAAACUCUUGAACUAAUGAUGGUGGCAGGUGCUCCAGUCAGCCUGCUAUCAUUCCGGCUGCAGCCUUGGAGCAGAGGGUGGGACGACCAGCAACAGGGAGGAGCUACCCUCUCUGCUAAGAGCUUCAGAGACCUGUAGAGACGGCAGAACAACCUGCCUAUGGAUAGAAGCUAUCCUCUCCAGGGCCCCGUCUGAGAGCAGCAGGACCUCUGGACAAUCUGCCUGCGAACAGAAGCUACCUUCUCCAGGGCUGCUUCUCUGCUGAGAGCUGAGAGGAGUCACCCUCUCCAGGGCCUUUUCUCUGCUGAGAGCUGAACACUUGAGGGACGACCUGCCCGCCGACACAGGGGAGCUGCUCACUGUGGGUCUCCUUCUGAGCUGUUCUAACACUAAAUAAAGCUCCUCUUCUUCUUCUUCACCCUUCAUUUGUCUGCAUAUCUGGACACAGGACAAGAACUCGGGCACCGUGGGCAAAGCGCCACGAGCAACAGGUUUCCAGGGGAAGAAAACCACCACAAAGAUCACUCAUAACACUAACAUAACCAAAACUUCAAAUCUAAAAAUGUAAUGCAUCCAACUGUACAAACUGUCAGAAACUAGACGCCACUUUUCAUCUUUAACAUUUUGAAAUCCUCAUACUCUCACAAGAACAAAAUGAAACCAAAAAGGAGAACACAUUCAGUGAUUUUAAUGUGUAAGAAAGAUUACAUGCUUCAUGGGCAGAACCAAAGGUUAAACCUU
rnacentral:lncRNA from 10 species